rnacentral:rRNA from 1 species
CCGGCGCACGGGUGAGUAACACGUAUCCAACCUGCCGAUAACUCGGGGAUAGCCUUUCGAAAGAAAGAUUAAUACCCGAUGGUAUAAUCAGACCGCAUGGUUUGAUUAUUAAAGAAUUUCGGUUAUCGAUAGGCAUGCGUUCCAUUAGGCAGUUGGCGGGGUAACGGCCCACCAAACCGACGAUGGAUAGGGGUUCUGAGAGGAAGGUCCCCCACAUUGGUACUGAGACACGGACCAAACUCCUACGGGAGGCAGCAGUGAGGAAUAUUGGUCAAUGGGCGUAAGCCUGAACCAGCCAAGUCGCGUGAGGGAUGAAGGUUCUAUGGAUCGUAAACCUCUUUUAUAAGGGAAUAAAGUGCGGGACGUGUCCCGUUUUGUAUGUACCUUAUGAAUAAGGAUCGGCUAACUCCGUGCCAGCAGCCGCGGUAAUACGGAGGAUCCGAGCGUUAUCCGGAUUUAUUGGGUUUAAAGGGUGCGUAGGCGGCCCCUUAAGUCAGCGGUGAAAGUCUGUGGCUCAACCAUAGAAUUGCCGUUGAUACUGGGGGGCUUGAGUAUGUUUGAGGCAGGCGGAAUGCGUGGUGUAGCGGUGAAAUGCAUAGAUAUCACGCAGAACCCCGAUUGCGAAGGCAGCCUGCCAAGCC